rnacentral:rRNA from 1 species
ACACGACUACAUUAGAUACCCCUGUAGUCCUGGCCGUAAACGAUGUGGACUUGGUGUUGGGAUGGCUCCGAGCUGCCCCAGUGCCGAAGGGAAGCUGUUAAGUCCACCGCCUGGGAAGUACGGUCGCAAGACUGAAACUUAAAGGAAUUGGCGGGGAGCACCACAACAGGUGGAGCCUGCGGUUUAAUUGGAUUCAACGCCGGACAUCUCACCGGAUAAGACAGCUGAAUGAUUGUCAAUCUGAAGGUUUUACAUGACUAGCUG